CUUGAGAGGGAACUGGUUAGGGUUUUGAGGGAAGAAAGGGGACGAGUGGUCGGAAGCGGCAAGCUACAUGUGGAUACGAAAACCAACCUGAGGGGAUCAUGAUGCUCUCUAUUCAAUAGUUUUCAAUCUGAAUUUUCAUUAUCUUGCUGCUCCCAUUCUCCCCUUUCUCUCUCUCUCUUUCGGCGGAGUUCCCAUAGCUCACACCUUGGACCUCGUGAUGAUGCGCUUCACAUCUGAAGAACGAACCCGAACAGGAUGUUGAUGAAUCGUGUUGUGGAACUCUGAUUCGUUUGUUGGCGUGCUUCGUGAUAGGUUUAAUUUCGCUGAAAGAACAUGUGAUCUUUUCUACCUUCCAGGGUUUUGUUUGUGGUUGUUUUAGUAUUUUGCAUUCUUGAUGGUGAAAUUUGGAGACUAAUUAAUUUGGUUGCAUGCGAUGAGGAAACUGAAAACUUAAAAAUUUCGAUUGGAGGAA